UUGGGGAAAAUGCAAGACAUUUGAGAAAGGGAAGAAAAGGGCACCUCAACAUGCUCAAGGUCAAGCAGACUGCUGCGCAUGAUGGAUAUCCCCAUGACAAUUCACAAAAGCUUGAAUGGAAACUGAAAUCUGAUGGUGGAAACCAAACGUUGAAGUAAUUUGAUAUGAUGAGAUCAUGUGUUGCAGACCUUCAUCAGAUGGAAAC